AGAAAUACUGUGAACUAGAAGUAGUAGUAAAAAGAAGACUUAUAGAGACCUAAAUAGUGCUGGAAAUUUAGGAGUUAGUAAUUUUAUGAAUUAGUCUAGGGAGUUGUGUACGUGCAGGUAAGUCAAGCGUGCAUCGUUAACUCACGUUAAGAGUUUAAAGAGUCUAGUCUAACUAGAAACCAAGGUGGUACCGCGGACAUUAUAAGUUCGUCCUUAUU
rnacentral:ncRNA from 1 species